rnacentral:tRNA from 1 species
GGCUCAAUAGCUCAGUUGGUUAGAGCGCUGGCCUGUCACGCCAGAGGUCGAGGGUUCAAGUCCCUUUUGAGUCG